AACUCUCCUGAGGCCUCCCCAGCCAUGUGGAACUAACCAAAUCUCAGUUCCAGACCCUGUAUGGCAAUAGGUGCUGUUAGAGAUCUCACAAAUGAAUGAGAACAUGCAGUUUGCCUUUCUGUGCCUGGCUUAUUUCAUUUAACACCAUAUCCUUCAGUCCCAUC